CUCGCUUCUCGGCCUUUUGGCUAAGAUCAAGUGUAGUCUCUGUUCUUAUCAGUUUAACAUCUGACAUGUUCUCUAAACGAGGACGUGAUAUUAAACAGAUUUUUAGUUGGUGCUUGGUUGGGGUAGCAUUAAGGAGCUCUCUCGCACACCGAGCAGAGCCACGCCGCACCAAGCAUCCCUGCCAACCAGGUUCCCUU